GCUGCUUAUUCUGGGAGGGACACUUUACCUGCUCUGGAAUUAGCAACAGUGAUGUUGGAGUGGCUCAAUAGAUAGUUACUGACUGACUGAUGGAUGGUGUCUUAGGAUGAGAUUAGUAGGACUGACUGCCCUUGGGUGGGUCUCAGAUGAUUUUUUUAGUUGAUAGAAUGGACCUUUAUCUCAGAAGUGACCUCCAGAGUUUAAGUCAUUUGCAAGUGACCUGAAAAGCCCGUGAUAUGUAGCAACAUUUAAACCGGCUGAGGCUAGGAAUUGGUGUGCUUUACAGCUGGUGGGCAGGAGCAAAUCUCUGAGCUAGUGAGCGAGCCUAGUCAACUGCCGGCACCUCCAUCUCCUAGGGACCAAACCAUUCUCUCUAUGUUGCCUCAUUUGCCUAUUAUGGCAAGCCUUGUGCUAGAUGAUCCCCACUCUCUGCCUUUUUAAAGUAUUGGAAUAAAAGAUAACACACACAAUAAUACUUCCUUAUUAUUUUGGAACAUGUUUUGAAAAUGGAAACUGCUAUUGGAACUAUUUUACAGAGAGGAAACUGAAAUCCAGGGAAGAUAAUAUGUUACAGUAACUGUCCUUUCUCUUCCGUUUUCGGCGAAGAUGCAAGCCUGGCUAGAAGGAUAAGCUGCAGAAACAAUGAAGCAGGAGACCCCUAAAAAGAGCUUCUUGGUCCUGGUGCUCCGAGGAGAGGCGUGCCCACAGCGUGAUCAUGAAGUGGAACACAGCUCCGACUUCCCCCCUCCAGCCCCCUUCAGGCCUGCCCUCAGUGGUACCCUCAGCAGCCUGUGACUGCUGGGGUUCACCCCUGACAGGACAGCUUGUUGAUCAGGAGUGAGAUAGUGCCAGUCCAGCUACCUUCUGAGGUUUCUACUUGACUCAGAGGAAACCCACUCACCCCGGCAAGUGUAGGCUGCUCCGUGGGUGUCCCCUAGGAGGACAAUGUGGCAGGCUGAUGAAGAUGUGGAUCAAAGGAAUCUCUUACCAACAAAGACUC
rnacentral:lncRNA from 1 species